rnacentral:lncRNA from 1 species
AAAAUAUACAUUAUUUUACAUAUCUGGGUAUUUCACCUGCAGGUAUGUUUGUCUACCUACUAUUCCUAGUACCUGAGAAAGCCAGAAGAGGGCACAAGAUCCCUUGGAAUCAGAGUUACAGACAGCCACGUAGGUGCUGGGACUUGAACCCUUUGUACUCUUAAUUGCCAAGCUAAUUCUUCAGCCUUGCCAAUCAUUAUAUAAAGCAUCUUAGUUGGAUUUGUCUGCAGUUUCCUUGCUGGGGACAGGAAUGUCACAGAGGUGGCAGUGUGUUCUUAAUCCAUGCUAUAAAUGGACACAAUUUUCCCAUUACUGAUGUUAACCCACAGGCAACACCAAUCAGAAUGUAUUAGAUGGAAAGUCCAGACGUAAGGUCUAGAGUGGAGGCAGGAAGGUAGCAACUUCAGCUACAGUGUCUAGAUGCCGUGCAGCUGAGCUCUGUUUAAAGAUCAUAGUUGGCUUUAUUUGCACUUCUAGAAUCAGGCAGCAUCUCCUUCCACCAAGUAGAAGAUGUGCUCCCAUGCCCCCUCUAAUUUUCCCCAUGGGCUGGGGUCUGACUUCAUAGUCUGCUGCAACUGGCUAGUUUGAAGAAGAGUGGGAAGGGGCCAUUUAAGUCAGUUAAGUUUCAAGAAUACAGCAGGGCUUUUGUGGAAACAAAUGUUUAACUCUGCUAGGGGGGCAAAACAUUUCCAUAAAGGUUUUCACAGGGCGGGGAAGAUAAAAAGAUUUGAGUUCCUUGUCAUAAACAAAAGUUUUAUAGUGCUUUACAGAAAGACAAUCUCAAGCAUAUGACAUGGGCGUGUGUGUAGAACCACAUCUUCAGUCCAAUCUCUCAUUUCAUAUCUUCGGGCCGCUUCUCUCACAGGGAGGAUGCUGGCUUCCAUGGCCAUUGAUGGGUUUGUAUGUAUAAUGGGCUUCCAGAAGCUGAACCAGUCUUCUCCUCCAGUCUAAGUGUCCACCCCAAAGAUGCCCUCCCCUCUGUGUGAGUGCUGUCCCCUCCCUCGAGGCUGACUCCUGCAUGGAUCUUGUCCUUAGACAUUUGGUUCCGGCUCUCUGUACCAGGUCUUGUACUUCCUCACCCUGCUGAGGUCUGACACCCCAUUCUAGACUGUGGGCAGAACGCCAGGCCAGAAAGUGCAGCCCAGACUCUGUGCACCCUGACACUGACUACAGGUCAUUGAAAAAGUCAUUUAAGCCAAAGUCCCAGCGUCGACCACCUGCCCGCUAACUGCUCUCCCCAUGUCCUCGAGGCUGUCUUCAAUCUCACCUCCACCGAGCAAUGCGAUCCCACUGCAGGUCCACUUUCCUACACAGUCCGAGGCCUCCAAUGGCAUCUCUCUCCUGCUGUUUUCUUUCUUCCACUUAAGAUACCUUCUUUCAAGUCCUGGAGGAGACUCUUUCUUCCUUUCCACCUAAUUAAUUCCUUGUUGUCUCUCAGGUCUCAGAUCAAGGUUUCUCGUCUUUGGUCUGGAAGCCUUUCCCUAUCUCCAAAGUCUAGGUUGUGUUUUUUGGUUUUUAACCUUAAUUAAUUUUAUUUAUGUGUAUGUAUUCACAGGCAUAUGUGCCAUGGCCCUCAUGUGGAGGUCAGAGGGAGUCGGUUCUCUUCUCUCACAGUGUAGGUCCCAGUGAUAGAACUCAGGCUGUCUGGCUUUGGGCAUGUCAUGGUUUUUUACCUGCUGAGCUGUCUCUCUAACUCUGCAUCUCUUUUUAAGUCACUCACUCAGAAACUUCUCCCUCUUGUCCUGGUUUUCCUGAUGCCCUGCUCACUUCGUUGCUAGUUAUAGAUAUAGUCUGGCUCUCUGAACCCGAAGCCUGUGGUGCCCUUUCCCUAGAAUGCCUUUUCCUUCAGGAACGAUGUUUGUUUAGAUGCAGUUGCAGCUCGGCCUUGAGACCUUCUUCUUUAGCAUUGCCUCCGUGAGAAGAACCAGACAGAGAAAAAUGAAGUAUGUAUAUGUUGCUUGUGCACAGGACGUCAGUUUCCAGCAACCUUGUUAGAUGUCUCAUAACUUCCUGUAGUUACAGAGAAUUUGACAUCAUAUUUCUGUCCUCUCCAAGAACAGUAUGCAUGUGCACUUACCCGACCCCCACAUACACAUAAUCAAAAUAAAAUAGAUCUUUGUAAAGCUUUGGUACAAACCUAGCCUGAUGGCGCACACCCUUAUUUCCCAGCACGGAGGAGCCAGAGGCAGGAGGAUCCCUGUGAGUUCAAGGUCAUUCUGGUAGACAUAGAGGUCAAGACCAGAGCUACAGAGACUCUGUCUAAAGCAAAGCAAAACAAAAAGCUACCCAAAUAAAUACAUCAAUAAAAGUUAACAUCCCAGUGUAUCUCUCUCUUCCCUGCUCUCUCUGCAUUGUAUAUAUCUGUAGAAAGAGAGAAUUCACAAUCUAUAAGUUCAUCCUUUUAAGGUACAAUGUAAUAUAUUCAGAAGGUUAUAUAUUCAAAAGGUUGUAUACUCACCACUAUUCAAUUCCAGAACGCUCCCCCAGCUUUAAAACUCCAUAUAGUUGUUCGUCGUUGCCCUUUGUUAAACACCCUCACCUCUUCCUCUCUCUGAUACGCCCCCACCACUACUAAGUCCCUUCUCUCUAUGUGUGCCUGUUCUGGACAUUUCACAUAAAUGGAGUCUGACAAUAUGUGGCUUUGGGGGUCUGGCUUCACAUAGCAUGCUGUUUUCAAGCUGUCCUCUCUGUAGCAUAUAUACAGGCAAUAUUCUUUUUAUGACUAAUCACAGUUCACUCAUGAGCAUCAGUUAAGGAUGGAUUGCUAUGAACGUUCACGAGCAACUUUGGGCACUAAUAAAAAUUUGUAUCAAUGAAUAAACCAAUGUAUGAUAACCC